UACGGAGGGUGCGAGCGUUGUCCGGAUUUAGCUGGGCGUAAAGCGCGCGCAGGCGGCACUCUAAGUACGUCGUGAAAUAUCCCGGCUCAAACCGGGAGGGUGCGAUGUAGACUAGGGAGCUAGAGGUCGGUAGAGGGGGGUGGAAUUGCUGGUGUAGCGGUGAAAUGCGCAGAUAUCAGGAGGAACACCGGUGGCGAAGGCGGGUCUCUGGGCAAUAACUGACGCUGAGGAGCGAAAGCGUGGGGAGCGAACAGG
rnacentral:rRNA from 1 species